AUGACUUAUACCAGCAAGGUUCAGCAUCUGCGGAUUCACCCAACCGCGGUCCGAUUUUCUCAGAUUUUCUUAAGUGUUCCCAGAAUUUUUGAUCCUUCUUUGGUUGAAUCCUCAGAUGCUGAACCUGUGGGAUUGCAAGUGUGGGCGGCAGUAGUGUCUGUGGAGACCACGGCUGCGGCAGCACUCCAACUCACUCCUAGCUGCAGUCUCCACCAUAGAGCCGGGGAGAGAGCCUCCGCCAGCGACCCAGGGCAGCACAGGCACCCAGACCCGAACUCCAAGUUGGGAGACAAGCUGAGUAAGAAGAAGGGGUACAAUGUGAAUGAUGAGAGGGCUAAGGACAAAGACAAGAAGGCCAAAGGAGCUGGGACAGAAGAGGGGGAAACCCCGAAGGACAAUGAGACCCAGGGUGCUGCAGAGACCCCAGAGGUGAAGGAGGACAAGGAGGAGAAGCUGGAGAAGGAUGCCUAGGAUGCUGCCAACAAGCCUGAAGACAAGGAAGGUGAGAAAGACAAAGAGGCAGCCAAGGAAGACACUCUGAAGGCAGAGACGGAGCAGACGGAGGGAGCUGAGUGGAAGCCGGGACCCCCAAAGGAUGCUGAGCAGGAGCCGGCGGCUGCCUCCGGCCAGCUGCAGGUGGCAACGCCCCUAAAACUUUGGAGACCUAGGCUGCGGAGACCUUGGCCCCACCAAGGAUGACAAGAGCAAGAAGGGAGAGGAACCCGCAUUGCCUCAGGCUCCUGCAGCUCCUGCCGCGCAGGAGACAAAAAGUGACGGGGCCCCAUCUUAAGACUCAAAACCCGGCAACACUGAGGCUGCCCCAUCCUCCAUGGAGAUCCUGGCAGCCACAGAAGCACUCAGUUCCAUGCCCAAGGCCAAGCCCCUGCAGCCCCCACAGACGAGGUCAAAUCUGCCGAGACCCCAGCAGCUAAUUCUGAUCAAACCUUAGCAGUGAAAGAGUAAGAAGGACAACCAAUGGAACGAAGAAUACCGCUUAACAACAACCUGUCUCUCUGACUCCUUCUCUGUCUUUUUGUCUCUCUGUCUCUCUCCUAUACUAACUUGUUUCAAAUUGGAAAUAAUGGUAUGUAUUGCCCAAGAACAAGCAUGUGGUCCUUUCAAGGGAGGGAGGGUGUUGGGAGAAUCCAAAUAGUAUUUUUGUGGGUAAAUACCUAAUAUACUUUCAGUCAACUCUACCAAUCAGUCCUGGAUUUUAAAGAUCAAUGUCUGAAAGUACAGUACAUCUUUUGUACCUGAACUGCUGUUACAUGCACUCCGCCACUAAGAUCUGAAUGUCUUGUCUUCUGCAAGGGGAUUGGGAGUGAUGCGUUUGAUUCUGCCCACAGGGCCUGUGCCGAGGCAAUCGGAUGUUCAUGAAGGCAGCAUUUUCUGUUUUCUUUUUCAUUUACAGCUUUCUUAUUUUGAAAUUUUUUUAAUGUUGUGGAUGAAUGCCAACUUUCAGACAGCCUGCUUAGCCUGUUCACAUGUAUCUUGAUGCCAAUACUCCAUUCUUCCUCCCCAGGUCUUUUUGGGAGUAACAAACAUUCUUUCAUCCUACUUAGCCUCCCUAGAUUUCUCAUGACCAGUUAAUGUAUGUCCAUGGUUGGGUGCACCUGUAGUUCUGUUUACUGGUCGGUGGAAAUGAAAAAAAAAAGUCUGCAUUCAUCACAGUUCCAGUUUUCUCUUCCAUCCUGUCACAAACUCCAACACAUCACUCAUUAGAAAAUGGAAAAAAAAAAUAAAAA